rnacentral:rRNA from 1 species
UACAGAGGUUCCGAGCGUUGUUCGGAUUCAUUGGGCGUAAAGGGUGCGUAGGCGGCGGGGCAAGUCUGAUGUGAAAUCCCGGGGCUCAACCCCGGAACUGCAUUGGAUACUGCCUUGCUAGAGUACUGGAGAGGGAACUGGAAUUUACGGUGUAGCAGUGAAAUGCGUAGAGAUCGUAAGGAAGGCCAGUGGCGAAGGCGAGUUCCUGGACAGUUACUGACGCUGAGGCACGAAGGCCAGGGGAGCAAACGGG